GUAUGGCUCAGUGGUAGAGUGCUUGCCUAGCACAUGCAAGGACCUGGGUUUAAUCCCCAGUAC
rnacentral:tRNA from 1 species